CCUACGGGAGGCAGCAGUGAGGAAUAUUGGUCAAUGGACGAGAGUCUGAACCAGCCAAGUAGCGUGAAGGAUGACUGCUCUAUGGGUUGUAAACUUCUUUUAUAUGGGAAUAAAACGUUCCACGUGUGGGAUUUUGUAUGUACCAUAUGAAUACGGAUCGGCUAACUCCGUGCCAGCAGCCGCGGUAAUACGGAGGAUCCGAGCGUUAUCCGGAUUUAUUGGGUUUAAAGGGAGCGUAGGUGGUUUGUUAAGUCAGUUGUGAAAGUUUGCGGCUCAACCGUAAAAUUGCAGUUGAAACUGGCAGUCUUGAGUACAGUAGAGGUGGGCGGAAUUCGUGGUGUAGCGGUGAAAUGCUUAGAUAUCACGAAGAACUCCGAUUGCGAAGGCAGUUCACUGGACUGCAACUGACACUGAGGCUCGAAAGUGUGGGUAUCAAACAGGAUUAGAUACCCUUGUAGUC
rnacentral:rRNA from 1 species